GUCAGUUAUGCUGAAUUACACUGGAUCCCUGCUCACUCAGUGAUGUAGACAAAUAACAAUUCAAGAUCAAGGGUGAACCCUGGCCACUAAACUUGUUUCACUUGUGACUCAUUCCAGACUUAAAAACCUGGCUCUUGCUGACAUUUUAUUAACCCAAUUUGUCAUCCUCCUAACCCCCAUUAUCCAACCCAGGCAGAUUAUUUACUUUGAAAAGAUGUGCAGAUAGCUUCCAUGCGAAUCCUAAGUAGAUCCAGGUGCCACAGCUAGAUUCCAGAGGGACUUACAGUCAUGAGAGACAUGUGCUGGUAAAAUAACUUCUAGAUGCUUCCAAACUCAAUGACAUUCUCCCUCUUUAGAUUUUGUCUGGACUCCCCUUCCUGCAAAGCAGCCUGGCACCAGCAUGGUGAAGUGCCCAAGUCCAUACCUUCAGGGCUCUGUGUGUGUUCCCAAAGAGAUCAGCAAAGCAUUCAAGUCAAGAAUUAGCUUGCUGCCUUCCAGAGGAUUCAUCAUUUCCAGUUUGCAAGCUUGAAGAGAGAAAUCCAGGAAGCAUCAAUAAAUCUACUUUGACAGUGGAGUAAAGAGCUGCAAAAGGAGUAACCUGUCAAGGCAGGUUGAGCGCCGGGAGCUGAGGGCUGGUGGAGAUGCGGGGAUCGGACGUGCGGGGGCAGCCUUACCUGCGGAUUGUCACGGCUCUAAAACACCGCGGCAGGGCCACUGCAGGCAGCUCGCUUGGCCUCCCAACUUCCCAUGCCAAGCUCUGGAGCUUUGCCCCUUUCCAAACGAGGGACCCAUCCAGGCUUCCCUGGUUUCCUCAUUCCAAGGGCGAGCGCUGUCCCUUUAAAUAAGCGCCGAGAUCUCAGCCCGAGCGGGGACUGGAGCCCGGGCUACCCACGGUUAUGAAACCUCCCAUUCAGAGCUCGGGGGCUGCUGCUGCACUCCGAGGUUAAUAAUCAGUUUUAAUAUUCACUUAGGGGGCUGUAAAAAAAGAAUGAAAAUUUCCUAAUUUGAAAAUGGACUUGAUUGGCAGCUUUAUUAUCUCUGUAAGGUGCGUGGCAUUCCACACAAUCAAGUCGUUUUUUUAAAUAAUCUCACUGCUUAAGUCGUACACGCUGCUAAUUGCAUUUUAAUAAGUCUCUUUAAAAUCUUUCCAUAUUUUUUAAUAUCCUAAUAUUAGAUAAGUGAUUGCUGGGGACACUGGAGGGCACUGAAGUUUAUAGAAAGAGGAACACCAUAAUGAAGCUUUAUUGGGGUGGCAUCACCAAACAAUUGCUGUGAUAGCAACACUCCCAAGCUUGGAAAAGUGCCAGGCAUUCCCCCCCUGGAACUGACUCAGGCAGUAGCCUCUCUGGCUCAGGACUGACGCAGAAAAUGGAUGCUUUCUGGCUCAUAAAAUGGCCUCUUUCCGGCUUGGAAGUGACUGAGGAACUGUCCACUUUGGAUUUGGAAAGGACUUGGGAACUGGUUUUUCUCCAUUGAACAAUGACUUUGAAACACACUUUUGUUUUGCUUGGUUCUGGCUUGAAACUAUAAAAGUUGUUGGUGUUUUUGGUUUUUUGUUAGUUUUUUUUUUAAAAUUGGGUCAGGAUUAGGCAGAAAGAAAGAAGAUUGUUUUGCCAGCUCUGUACAGUAGCAGAUGAUGUGAAAGGCUUCAGUGGAAUUAGAAAACCAAGGCUGCAAGUAGAAUAGAUGAACUUUCCAUCUCAAAGAUCAAACCCAGUUAAGAUGAGAGAAUAUUUGGGAGAAAAUGUACUUUGGUGUGGGGCUAUGGAGUGUCUGUGUCUCACACAGGGGACAGAGUAUUAUCCAAGAACACCAGUACAGACUCAAUCACUCUAAAGUUAAAAAAACCCAAACAAAUAAAAUAAACCACCAAAGAAAUCAGACAAUAGUGGGGCUGAACUGACAAGCUCCAGUUUCAAGCACCCAGAAGUACAGAAUAUUUCCAGCUCAGGUCCAACCAGGAUCCUGUGUGUGCAUCCACAGGGUGAGCUGUCCCAGCAGUUACAACCCAGUGGUGCAGGAAGGUGCCCCACGACGUUCCAUGUGCAGAGUCCAAUGUUUUCUAUUGGAAGUCUGUCUUUAGAUAAAGUACUGUCUUCUCUAUUAUAUUUGUUUUCUCUAUGUAUUUAAGUUGUGUUUCUUCAAAUUAUGUGUUGGGCAACUAACGCCACUUUCAAUGUAAUUUAACAUCAUCAGCCAUGAGUGGGAAAUAUAAUCCCAAAUUAGUGUGUAACUGGCUUCUAGGGAACUUAACUGGGAUAAAAGGACUUUUUUUUUUUGCCCAAACUGCAUGGCAGUGCCAAAUUUUACAUUAUAUUGCAUUUUGUCCUCUGCAAUUCGUGCACUGGGACCUGAGAUCAGAAAGUUAUUUUGAGAACAGUAAUGACUUUAAUGUAUUGCCUGCUUUUAUAUGGUUUUUUUCCCCAAGUCUUGUCUUCUGAAAUCAUACUAUAAUAAAUCACAGUGUCAGUUUUGGUUUAAAAAAAAAUCAAGCUUCUGCCAGUUCAGUAUUUAGUAAAG